CCUACGGGUGGCAGCAGUGAGGAAUAUUGGUCAAUGGACGAGAGUCUGAACCAGCCAAGUAGCGUGAAGGAUGACUGUCCUCUGGUUUGUAAACUUCUUUUAUAUGGGAAUAAAACGUUCCACGUGUGGGAUUUUGAAUGUACCAUAUGAAUAAGGAACGGCUAACUCCGAGCCAGAGGCCGCGGUAAUACGGGGGAUUCGAGCGUUAUCAGGAUUUAUUGGGUUUAAAGGGUGCGUAGGCGGAUCGUUAAGUCACUGGUUAAAUUGAGGGGCUCAACCCCUUCCCGCCAUUGAAACUGGCGUACUUGAGUGGAAGAGGGGUAUGCGGAAUGCGUGGUGUAGCGGUGAAAUGCGUAGAUAUCACGCAGAACCCCGAUGGCGAAGGCAGCAUGCCGGCUUCCGACUGACGCUGAAGCACGAAAGCGUGGGGAUCGAACAGGAUUAGAUACCCGGGUAGUC
rnacentral:rRNA from 1 species